CCAUCUCAGACAGCGAGAUCCUGACCUGAGCCGAAAUCGGGAGUUGGAUACUCAAAUGAAUGAGCCACCCAGGCGCCCCAGGCUUGUUUAAUUCUUAAAAUAACUCUCAGAUGUAGGUACAAUUAGUUAUUGCCCUCCUUGUUUUGCCAAGUAUGAAAACUAAGGCUUGGAAAAAAGGUAAAGGUAGCUUGUCCAAGGCCACGUAGCCAGUAACCCAAAUUCAAGUGGGAUUCAAAUUUAGAGAAGUCCUUACUGUGGUGAGCAAACCGCCUCAGUUUCCUCCAUCCGAAAAUGAGAAAAACACUGCCCCUUCUCAUCAAGUGCUGUGAGGCUCCAUUACUGCCUGAAAUCUGCUUGGAAAUCUUCACACAAAAGGUGCCAUGGAUGUGAAAUGAAAUGUUAGCAUCCAAUAUCACUAUGCAGAUGUCUCUCGCUAAGCAAAGUAACACGUUUCUAUUUCAAGGCUAUUAACAGUGGAGCAGCUGUACUACCAGAGAAUUUUGAGAAGUCAUAAUGAAAUUAAACAGCAGACAGAAAAGGAAGAAGAUACCGUCUUUAGAGCUAUGCUUGGUUGGAUGGUAUUGUCAUACUAAAUGUGUAUUUCAAGUACAUGAUACAUUUCCAUAUAGUGAUGCUAGAUCAGUAUAUUAUAACUAAUUGGAACAGAGCCUUGAGGUUUCAACAAUUCCCAUGUUAAGAGAACAAAAUGUUUUUUUCUCCGAUGGAUCAAGACAACCUUUUAUUCACGUAGUUUGACUAUUGAAUGUGUAAAGUUGUUCUGCAGGUAAAGCUACAAUUGAUGCUUAAGGGUGUACCAUGAAGUUUCUAAUAGCAGCAUUGGUUGACAGCAUUUGCUGAAUGAUAAUUGUGUACCAAAUAUUAAGCACUCAACUCUGCAAAUUAAGUGUUUGUUUUUUACCCAUUACUUCUAAUGGGGAGACUGGAGUUUUCUUUGUUGGGAGAGAACCUUGAUUGUAGAUGUGUCUAAUCCUCCUUCUUUCGAAAGCAACUCACUAAAUACAGAGUUUUUAAACAUUUA